AUUCAGAGAUGGAAGUAGGUGCCUUCUUUUGCAGGCCUCCCAUCCUGUGCACCAGCAUGGACUCACAAAACUUCCUGUAUAUUUAUAUUGUUAAUUGUGUCAGUAGCAUGGCCCAAGCAGAGGGUCACCCCUUUGAGUCUGGUCUGCUUGAGGUUUCUUCCUCAAAUCAUCAGAGGGAGUGUUUCCUUACCAUGGUCACCUGUGUGCUUGCUCUAGGGGUUGGUAAGGUUAUAGCUUACUUGCAUGAAGCACCUUGACGCACCUUUGCUGUGAUUUGACGCUAUAUACACUAAAAAAAUUGAAG